rnacentral:lncRNA from 1 species
GUGCGGGAAGGUGGCAGGCACCUCUGUGGAUGGGGGAGCUUUGCGGAAACCACAGAAAGGGUUGAAAUCUUGUUUGUAAGAUGGCGUGAUGCCUGCGGAGCCCAAACUGGGUGCCAAGCAGAGCAGGUGGUGGGUCGGCUGUGGCCCCAGAGGCUGAGAGCAGGUGGGUUUUAUGCUGACUGGCAUGGGCA